UACAGGGGGGGCAAGCGUUGUUCGGAAUUACUGGGCGUAAAGGGCCAGUAGGCGGCCAACUAAGUCCGAUGUGAAAUCCCCAGGCUUAACCUGGGAACUGCGUCGGAUACUGGAUGGCUUGAAUUCGGGAGAGGGAUGCAGAAUUCCAGGUGUAGCGGUGAAAUGCGUAGAUAUCUGGAGGAAUACCGGUGGCGAAGGCGGCAUCCUGGACCGACAUUGACGCUGAGGAGCGAAAGCUAGGGGAGCAAACGGG
rnacentral:rRNA from 1 species